CUAUAUAUAUAUAUAUAUAUAUAUAUAUAUAUAUAUAUAUACUCCUCUUUCAUGUCCUUUCAUAGGUUAAAGAUGAGCCCUUAUCUUCUCUGGUGAGGGCUCGAAGACAAGCUCAAAUCACUCAGCGACCUGGAUCUUACUCAGUCAAAGGAUCUCCUAACACACUCAUCCAGACCGACAGGUCGAGGCAACAUUUGAACGCUAGUAAAAAAAAGCCCCACAGAUCUCGUAUCGGCUCUUACUCACUACUUUCCCAUAACCACGGAACCAACCCACUACAGGUCAGCAUAGCCACCAGAUCCAGUAUGUAUCCAGACCAGAUGGUGGAUCAGCACCUAAAGAGGACCUCUACAACCCCGAAAGUCAGCGGAGACCAGGACAACUAGAUGAGCCCCAGAUACCCUGUAAAGACCUGAUGAACUGCCUUUAACUGAAAAAUAAAUGUUUACUACUGUCAUUUUGCAUUAUUGACACACAAU